UAUACUAAUUUAGAUCAAAGAUAUGCCCAAUCUUGUUUUAACACUUUAAAUUAAAACAAGAAUUGAGUUUUUGUGAAUAUUAAUUAUAAUGAAAAUUAAUAUAUUUAGAAGUUUUUAUUAGAAACAGGUUUUAAUUUCUUUUGAUAUUAGUUCAAACUUUUAAUAAAUUAGAUUUUUAAGUUUAGGCAUUUCAACUUGUGUGUCGUAGCAUCUACUUUUAUUAUUAAUGUUUAUUUCUCGGAUUGUUAGUCCGGUCGUAUUGUGUUUCGAGCCAAUUUUUGGGUAGAAUAACACAUAUUUUAACUGGCCAAACAAGAUAAUAGCUUAGCGUCGCCUUUCUUAGCCCAUUUAAUUUCUCCUACUACGCCUGGAUCAGUUACAAUUACGAGAGUGAACGCAAAUCCAAAGAUUGACUGCCAACAACAUGAAUUUUCCUCUUUUUCACCUCAAGUCAUGCUGCUAUUGUGUUAGUUUAAAAAUCGGGUGUUAUACGAUCUGUUCAUUAUACCUGCUUUUAAGCUUGAUGGUUUUUAUAACCGAACUUCAAUCCGCUGAGUAUUUUUUCUCGCACAAUUUGAGAACUAAACAUCUCGCUGUACUGUUUGUAUAUGAUACAAAACCUCCUAUCGUAUUUGUAUUUUCUAUAUUUUUCAUCUAUGGUCUAUACAAGGAAAACAAAUUAUUCGCACAUAGUGGGAUUGCUCUUAUAUACCUAUUUGUGAUGUCACGCCUUAUGUCUUUUCUACAAACUCUGAUCAGACAUAAUUUUCAAUCAAGAAUCCUAAUAACAUUCUUAAUUGCUGAAGCUUUUCACAUGUUGUGCCUUAUGCUAGUUAAGAGUUAUCACAAUGAGCUUUCUUUAAAAAUACACAAGCCUGAUGUUAUAUUAGAAGACACUACAAAUUCGAUAGAGUCUGAAAACCCAGAACCGUCCAGUUAAAUAUUGUCCUUUCUUAAGAAUUGAGUUCCUCUUAAUGAUAUUGUUUUUCAUAUUCUCCUGCAAUUAUAUAUUUUAGUAUUUUGUAUAUUAUUUUGUACUCAAUAAAAGUUCUUAGUUGACAUUCAACAAGGAAUUAAUUGUUUAUUUCAUGAACAAAAAUAAGUACUUAUUAAUUUAUAAUACAAACUAUGUAAAAAUGAAUAAUAUUUAAUUUUUAAAAAGUUUAGACAUGUUGGACAUAUUUAUUUCACUUUCUUAAAAUAUUGGUGGCCACAACGGUUAAGGCACAAUGACUUGUCACUGCAAGGGUUGCAAGUUUGAAUCCCAGGAUUACUGAGUUUAAGCAUAUUAUGCCAAAAAAAUUUAUAAUUGUUCAAAAUUAUAGUUUAAUUUAUUAUUUAUUACGCUUUUCAUAUAGGAGAUCCUUGAAAUAUUUUAUCACCCGUUCCAAUAAUCCUUGAGAAAAAUCAACCUUGAAAAUUAAUGUUUUGCUCAUUUUACUGUAAAUAGUCUCAGCUGAUGUUCUUCAGUAUCAUGGAAUUUCUCAGGAAGCCGAAAACGUUUUGCUGCUGUAUGAGUUUACACACUGGCUGCUAUGUCGGCGCAGCGUUAUACCUUAUUUCAGGAAUUCUUAUGUCUGUAGGGGAAAUUAUCAGUGGGUCGCCCAUUCUCAAGAAUAGUCAUCAUAAAUAUAUAAUAAAAGAGGCUUUCACUUAUGAUUUAUGUCCAUCCCUUGGCAUUGUCUUCCCAAGUUGUCUAAUAGCUGGGUUGGUUAAGAAUAAUUCACUAUUAGUUUAUAGCAACGCAUGCAUGAUGGGCGCUAUGCUGGCCAAUAACUGUUUCAUGAUACUUUUGAAUGUAUUGCAGCUUGGACAUUUCUCUAUUAACUACAGCAUAUUCAUAGAUAAUAUUAUUUUUUCAGCCAUUCAUGCAUACUUCAUGAUCAUCAUCGUUGCUGAGAGUGAAGAAAUUGUUCUAAAGAACAAACAAAACGUUGCCAUCCUUAACGAAGAAAUAAACCCAUGUAACAAUGAAGGAUAAAAAAUAUUUUGAACAGAGAUUUGUGAUCAUAAUUAUGCAUCUAAUGUUUGUUUGAUUGUUUCUGUGUUAGGAUAGAAUUAUAAUGAAAUAAACAUAGUAAUGUUAAGUCAAAUAUCUGUAAUAUUAUCAUUGUAAAUAUUAUUUGAAAAAUAUUAAUGUAUAAUAAUAAUUAUAGGUGUCAAAAUAAAAUCUUACAAUUAGAAUUUUUUUGAACCGUAGACCAAAACUUGCAUAUGUGUUCAGCAUUUAGAGAAAGGUUGCUAGAAUUAUCCCUCUGAAGGGAGCAAUUACUUGGCUCUAUAUAGAGAGCGUGUAGGUAUGCCACCCAACAUGAAAAUUGUGUUUGAGCAGGGCAGAGAGUAUUUGGGUCCCUUGUUUGAUUUUUCAGAGAAAACGGCGUUGUUUGAUUACAUAUAAUACUGACGGUUAUAUGUUUUGUAACUUUCUGCGGUUCCAAUCUUCAUGAUCAGUGCUGUACGAUCUGGUUUACAUUAAAAUUUAAACAUAGACCUAAUAAAAACACAGAUAUGUUUGUAUGAUUUGGAAAAUACAGUGUUCUUAAAAUCUAAAUGUCACAGUUGACAUAACAAAGUUUUGCAUAUGUAAAUUUAAAAAAUUAUAACAAUAUUUUCAAAAAUGAGAAGCUUAUCUCAAAGGAUAAGCUAAUCCCCAACCGCAGACUCGGGCAGUGCGAGCUGAGCCACCAAAGGAUGAGGAAGGACUCUCUCAAUUUGUUUGAAGACACCUGCUCUUUUUAUGUAAAUGGCAAGGAGUUAGUUGCGACAAUAUCUCUAGAUAAUCUAAAGUGUAUAAUUUAUACAUCAAUACAGUAAAAAUAUAUUCGAGAAAGGCUCAAAAUCCCAGAUGAUAUUUUAUCUAAUCUUCUCCGCCUGGAUCUGUUAUAAUUAUCAUUCUUAAAAAAAAAGGGACCGGCGCUGAAAUGGAUUGUUCACUUUUUCUACAGAAGUCAUAUCGCUACUUGCAUUUAAAAACAUGCUGCUAUUUUAUUGCUUUUUUAUAUCUGUCUUUAGGAGUUCUUCUUUUUUGCGAAGAGCUUUAUUUGUCUGAGCGACAUUUCUCAAACAGCUUGGCCAACAAGGAACUUGCUGUACUGUUUGCAUAUGACGUUAAACCUACUAUUACAAUUGUAUUUUCUAUAUUGUUCAUUCAGGGUAUUUACAAGGAAAAUAUACUUUUUGUAUUUAACAUGGCAGUCCUUACAUUUGUAAUUUUGGCUACUCGCCUCACAAUUAUACUGAACUCACUGAUGAGAACGCCUGAUAUUUUUCACCUCGGAUACACGACAAUGUUAACAUCUGCAGUCAUGCAUACACUUUGCUUCAUUGGAGUUAGAGGUCAUUACAAUGAAUUGAUUUUGAAAAUGAAUAAACCCAGUGAUACUUUGCUGGACAAUGAAGCAGCAAAUUGAAAAACAAUCUUCAAAGAUAAAAAAAACAUCAACUGUUAACAACUUACUACCUCUUAAUAAGACGAAAACUGGUAUAGCUUGGUAAAGGUAUGUCAGAGUAGGCAACUUGGCUAACACAAGGAAAUUGUCCUGGACGUGUACAGUCGGAAGUUCCCAAGGUGGAGUCAGCUUGUUGCUCAGCUCAAGUACCGUUCCUAGUUCGCAGUGUUAUUCUUACCAAAAAUAUAUUUAUAGACCUGUAUGAACUAUUAUUAGCACACAAAAAAAAAAAAAAUAUUAUAUAAAAUAAAACGGUAACAAAGAUAUUGUACAAGCAAAUAUUAUAAUACACAAAUAAUUCCAUUUAAAUUAUUUUCAAUAAAACACAUAUUAUUAUUUAUUUUUGGAAUGAUAGCAAGUAUAAAGAUAAAUCUCAGAUAAGUUUGUUCUUUGUUUUAUUACCUUCAAACCAAAACCAGUUUACUCAAGGCUGCACAAACAGGAUCAAAACUUUCAUAUUUACUACUCAUUUCAUAAACAAGAUACACUAUUGCAAUUUUUUUCUUCGUAUGAGUACUGAUUUAUUAAUUUGUUAUAUUUUUUUUAUCCUUCAUACAUUACUUGUGACUUUCCCUCUAUGCAGAAGGAAUGAAAAUGAAAAUUAUAUAAAUGAUGGUAGUUUUUAAAGAUAAUUAUCAUCCUUAAAUAAUUUUAUUAUGCGAUUAUUUGGAUGAAAAAAAAGAAUUUGUUCUCGCCGGGUAGGAGAUUCACACCGUGUAUAAAAGUGCGGGAGCUCGACAUAAGAUAUGUUCUUUCUUUUCACAGUAUAUUAUAUUACACAGGGCGGGCGACCAGGACCCGAGGGGUUAAAAGCCUGAGUAGGCCCGUACCCCAUUUCUUUUCACAGUUCCACCCCAUGUUUUUUUUUUUUUUUUUUUUUUAAUACCUGAUAAUUUUUUUUUAACAUUUGUAAUUUCCAAGUAUAAAAAAAUUCCAUUCGAUCAGAAAAUAUAAUUGUUUAAAAUAGUUUACUUAAUUAGUUACUUUCAACCAGUGUUUGUGUAAAUGUGUGAGAUAGAGAGAAAGGCUCAAAGAAUACUGAAUGCAGAGAACAAAAAGACAAUUCAAUUUAUUGUCAGUUUUUAACAGAUUAAGGUUUCCAUCUUAAUGAUCAUUUUUCAAUUUGUUGCUUCACUUUCUAGCAAAGUAUCAAUGGGCUUAUUCAUUUUUAAAAUUCAUUGCAAUAACUUCUUACCCUAAUGACUGAAAAAAUUAAAGAAAAAGUCAAAUUUCAUUCUUUAUAAAUAAAUAAACUAAGGAAUUUUUUUAUUAGCAAACCUGCAGUUAACAUUGUCAUUUAUCUAUGCAGAAGGUAUAUAAAUGUGUAAAUAUCUUAAAUUCUCUUCAGUAUAAUUGUUAGGCGAGUAGCCAAAAUGGCAAAUGUAAGGACAGCCAUGUUAAAUACAAAAAGUAUACAUUCUUAAAAAAAAAAAAAAAAUGCAAAACUGUUACCACAUUUUGAAAAGAUAAUUUUUUUAAUUUCUACAUUUUGAUCUCAUACACCAAUAUAUUUUUUCCUCCUAAAUCUAUAUACAAACAAAACUAUAAAUACUAGUUCACUUUCAAAAUAAUGUAAUGAGUAAUUAAAAUAGUUGACUUAGAUCAUGACUUUUGGGAUUUUUUUAAGCUGGUGAAAUAAAAAUUCAAGAUUUAAUAAAAAUGUCCACAUAAUAAGAAAAAUAUUAUAUUCUAUACGAUCAGUGAGCCUAUACAAUAUAACAGAGCUUAGAUUAGUGUUCUGGUCACAAAAACACUGUCGUACCAAUGCCGAGCUUUUGACGAUAUGUUUUGUCUUAUUCAAGUCAUAAUUUCACAUAGCCAAAAUUUAAAAACAUUGUUUUGUUGCUUAUGAAAAACUGAAAACAGUCUUGACCCUAUCAUUGGACAUUAAAAAUCCUUAAUAAAAAUUAUUAAAAAAGAUUUUACAAAAAAAAAAUGUAAGUACAGACAUGAUGGAUUAGAAAUGUACGUUAAUUUCUUCUUUACUUCGUAAAUAUCUCAAGGUAUACAUUAAAUAAAGUAAUUUCUGUCAUAAAGGACAGCUUAUCAUCUGACUACUAAUUGGUUGUCGCGAUUUUUCAAAUUCUAUAAAGAAAAAUUAAAUUUCAGAAUUGAAUUAUUGAGCUGUAAACAGAAGGCUCUAUAGUAUGAAUGUAUUUUGUUUAAAAUUAAUAAUAGUAAAUUAAAUAAUAGUAAAUUAUUGACAGUCAUUUCAAAUAAAGAAAUUGAAGUAGUGUGUCGUGUGCAGUAGUGCAGUACAAUUAAAAGAAAUGGCAAGAUUUAGUCUUUAAAACUAUUCAUAGUUAUAAUUAUUAUCAAAAAUAUAUUUGAUUAUAGGUAAUUAAUGCCCACAUUGAUAAUAGCUUAGUCAUUUACUAAUCAAUCAUAUUUUUUCCCCCAAUCACAUCUGGAAUUGUGUACAAUUAACAAUUCCAAAAGAGCACAACUUCAAUCAUAAACUGCAUAGUAUUCUCCACAAAUUGUCCACUGUUGUGGCUAAAGUCAUUCUUAUUUUGCAUAAAGUUGAGAACAGGGUGUUUUUUCAUCAGUUUGUUAUACCUGGUAAGUGCAUAUGAAGUACGGACAUGCCCAUCGUAAAGUGAUUUGCUCUGUUUUUUGUUUUUGUUUUUCCACUAGGCUUGGGGCAGUAUGAAUUUUAUAGAGUUACUGUCAUCUGCAGAGUACAUGUUCUCUUAUAGCUUGGAGAAAAAAUACAUUUGUAUGCGUUAAAUUGGUUGUCGUUGUCUUUUUAAGUAUAAAUAAUUUGUGUUUACAAAAUGUUAUAAUUUAUCAUAGCUGUGUUUUUUACAUACGAUGUAAUGCCAACACUUACGUUCAUAUUUUCAAUAUUUUUCAUAUAUGGACUUUACAAGGAACACCUAUUAUUUGUGUUUAGCGGAGUUUCUCUUUUGUGCUUUCUUUUUAGUUUAUUUGUACUGAUAAUCGUGUAUUCAUUAAUCAGAAAUUAUUUCUCUGGUAUUCGGUACAUAUCCUUACUGUUAACCUCAUUAGGUUCGGCAUUCUUGAGUCUGAUUGUAAUGAAGAGUUAUUACAAUGAGUUGUUUUUAAAAAAGAGCAAGACAAGUCAUACAUUGGAAGAACAUCAAAUUGAAACGUCUGAAUUUGAAAACACACAAUAGUUUAGUUGAAUAAUUUUCUCCAUCGAAUAAUUUAUUUAAAUCACUAUUAUUGUUUUGAAUAAACACUGUUUUAUAUUUUACAUUUAUUCAUUCUA